rnacentral:rRNA from 1 species
GACGAACGCUGGCGGCGUGCUUAACACAUGUAAGUCGAGCGGAGCGGCGAACGGGUGCGUAACGCGUGAGUAACUGCCCCCCUCUCUGGGAUAACAGUUGGAAACGGCUGCUAAUACCGGAUCGUGGGGGGGGACUCGCGUCCUAUCCGCUUGUUGGUGGGGUAGUUGCCUACCAAGGCGACGACGGGUAGCCGGCAUGAGAGGGGGACCGGCCACAUUGGGCUGAGGUACGGCCCAAACUCGGACGGGAGGAAGCAGUGGGGAAUAUUGCACAAUGGGGGAAACCCUGAUGCAGCAACGCGCGUGCGGGAGGACGGCCUUCGGGUUGGAAACCGCUUUCAGCCAUGACGCGGUAGUGGCAGAAGAAGCACCGGCUAACUACGUGCCAGCAGCCGCGGUAAUAC